GCAUAGUGUGUUUGAAUGUACCACAAUUGAUUUAACCAAUCUCGUAAUGAUGGGUAGUUAGAUUAUUUUUUAUUUUUCACUGUUUUAAAUACUACUAGGAUUGAUGUGAGAAAGGUCCCCAAGAAUCUUGCAUGGUGGAUUUUAUUCUCUGUGGUUUUGAGCAAGGAGUUGAGGGGCAUGAAGGGGCAGGAGUUUGUAGAAAAGGUGGUAGAUUGAGCCCUAACUACUCAGUAUAUUGGUGACAUCAUCUCUGGUAUUUUCUGAGACAUUCCUGAUUUGGAACAUUCCACCUCACUGGGGCCAUGUAUCCUGAGUUUUUGUUUGGGAAAUUUUAUCACCCCUCCAUGCCAUGAACUUCACGCUUCAGCAACGUUGACUUGCUUUUCACGUCCACACCUGCUAUGCUGUUCUCACUUCCCUGCCUUUGCUUAUGCUGACCCCUCGGCCUGGAAUGCCUGCCUCCUCCUCUUUAUCUGUCUCCUUCUUUUUCAUCAUUCUUUACGACUCAUCAGAGACAUCUCCCCCAGCAGGUUUGCGUAAUCUUUCUCUACCCCAGACUGGGUUGGGAUCCUCUUCUCCAUGCAUUCAUAGCAUCCUGUGCUUACUUCUUUUACUGAACUUAGCAUUUUAUGGCCCUCCCCUACUCGGCCAUGAGCUUCUCAGGAGCAGAUGACCUUUGAUUUAAUAAAAACAGAGCAAACGCUAUUACUUGAUAUAAUGACUAGAGCACUUUGGGCAUUGAGCAAAAUUUUAGUGAAAGGAUAAAUGAAUCAAUGAGCCCCCAUGGAAAAGACAGGUAGUUGGAUUGUCCUAGGGCUAGGGUUUUGCUGGACAAAGCUGGCCCAUUUGGGCAAGAGGGUUGAAGUGGUGGAGGCUGGUGUCUAUGCUGGACAGGAAGGAAGUGAAGGCAGGAAGGGAAGGUAGAGUGAACACAGAGGAAUCAAGGACCAGAGGGCUCUGUGGAUUUGAAGGACCAGUGUGGUGACAGCAAUGCCAGGGCUGGACUGAUAGGUAGUGCUUCAUAAACUCAACUGUGCAUAAGCAUCAUCGAGGGAGCUUGUUGAAAAUGCGGACUUCUGAGUACCCCUCUUAGUGAUUCUAAACCAGUAGGUCUGAGGUGGCGCCUGGGAUCUGCGUGUUUAACAAACACCCCAGGAAGUUCUCAUUCGAGGGGUCUGUGCACCACCCUUGGAUAAAUUCUGAAAUGAGAGGCUUUGGGCAGAAAGUGAGUUGUCUGAUUUUAAGAUUUCAGAGGUGGAGCCGUCCCUCCUGAAGCCGAGGUCCAGGUGUGGCCGCAGGAAUGCAUGGAGGUAGGUGAUGAUGAAGGUCAAGGGAUGGAUCACCCAUGUGCCAGUCACCUGGGAUGGGGGAAGGGCCUGGGAGAAGGAGGGACUCAGCACCAUGUGCCAAAGUCUUCCAUGAAUAAAGACGAGUUAUCAGAGGGGUGGUAGAUGAUCUCCAUGUUGGGAUGGAAACUUUACAAACGAAUAACUACAGUUCUUGGGUGUGAAUGCCUGACUGCGCUGUGGUGAGGAGGCUGUUUGUGGUGGAGGAGAAGAGAUGGCGCUAUGUUGGAACCUUCUUCUCACCAGCAUUCCCAAGGCUGCAGGUCUGCCGGGGGAGAGGUGAGGCAAGUGACGGUAAAGUGCUACAAAAGGCUGCAAGAGCCUCAUCACAGGCACAGAUAAUAAAGACCUUCAGAAGGCACUUGGGGUUGAGAUUGGAGAUGAGGCUCCAGAGGGGUCUAUGGAUUCCACCACACAAACAGUGGUGUCAGCAGAAAUCAUCCUCCUUCAAUAAUCCAAGUGUCUCCAGCCUGGCUCGUUGGAGAUUUGAGGUGCUGAUUAAUCACGCCUCUUCCUACCCAUGGAUUCUAACCAACCUGAGAAAUAGGCAUGAGUGAUCAAUAAGGAUUCAGAUACCACCUUUGUUUUAUUAUCCAAAGCUGGAUUGGAGAAUGUGGCUUAGAACUGAGGCUGAAAUUGGACUUUCUGCUUCUGCUUUCUCGAAUCUAGUGCCUACAUAUGGGGUGAAUUGGGUCUGUGGAACCAAUCUUGUCCCAUCCGCUGCAUAUGACGUGCCCCAUACAUCCCCCACCAUGGGGAGAGUGGUGGGCUCCAAAACUGCCUUUUCAUGCAGAGACCCACCUCUAGUUAAUGCAGCCCAGUGGAUGAAAAGCUCUGCCCAGAUCACUGAGGACAUGAGCCACCCCUCCUUGUCCCAAGGAGGCAUGAGAGAGGGGGUGAAGAGGAUGGCUCCCUGAGUGACCACGAGUGUUUGAGGAAAUUCCCAUUUUAUGGACCAAAUUGUGUGGGGAGAGAAGAACAGAAGUUACCCCAUGACGCUCAAAAGGCAGGGGAGAUGCUACAGGGCACUGUACAGGGGAAAUCAGACCCUCAAGAGCAGGAUCCUGGAGUAUGGGAAUUUGAGUUGUGAACUGAUUGAGAAGUGAAAUGAAAGACUUGGCAGCUGGAGACGCAAAUACGGUACCAUCUUUGUUACUGAUAGAGUGGAGAAUGUGGCUUAUAUCUGUGGACUGGUGGAUUUCUUGAUCCUGAGCUCCCAGCCUAAAAAGACUUACCUCCCCCAGGUGAGAAGACAGACUGAGAGAGGUUGUGUGACUUGUCCAAGGACACACAGCUAGGAAGCAGGAGAACUAUAGCGCAAGCCCAGCUUCACUUGGAUCCAGAGCCUGAAACAUGAAGCAGGCUCCCCUCUAUUGUUGAAUGAAUAAAUGAACGAGGUGAAACUGGAGGACAACAGGUUGAGGGGUUUGGCCGGCUUGGGACAAUCUGUGUGCAGUGUUGUAAAUUCAGUUGCCUUUCUCCUGCCUCAGGGGCUGGUCCUGGGCACUUUUCACCUGGACGUUCUGCCCCUGCCAGGCCAGGCGAAGAAGUGCCCCAGACGUGGGCUCUGGAGCUGGUCCUGCUGUCCCAGGGGCCCCCUGUCAGGGUGUGCUGGGGAAAGAGUCACAGGCAUCGGCUUGUCCACUUGGCUACCACCAUCCCCUUUGCUUGGGUUUUGAUUUCAUUCUAGAUCGCCAGUGGAUCUGCUCUGGUUGGCUUUCCAGAUGGCCGGGUGGCCUGAACACCACCUGCCAGAGGAGCUCUUGGACAAAGCCCCUUCCCCAAAGAGAACGGCAUAAACCCAUCUCUGUCUGAGCUGGCAAACUGACUCACGGAUUAGGGAAAAGCGUGGCAGACUGAGGCUGCCACUCAACUUCCCCUCUCCUGGCGGGAAUUUCCCGGUCUCCGUGCAUCUGGUCACCACAUUUCCAGACAUCCCUCUCACCGCUGGGCAUUAAACAAAAAACAGAGCCCCUGAGACCUCAUUUUCCCCGGCUUGUUCUUCACACCUCACGAGUGAUUUUUAAUCCUUGGGGCAGCCACAGUUAUCUUUAUUCCUGCUUCCUCCCUCCCGGAGAGGACCCCUUCCCUUCUCUGGGUAUCUGUAUCCUCCUCAUUGACUUUGCCACCUCCCGCUCUUUCCUCAUUCGCUGUCACGCCUGCCCUUGCGUGGACUGCUGUUAUCUUAAUCUCUUUCUUUGGAAACUCCUGUCACUUCUAAUUCUCUCAUUUUUCUCCAUCUACCUCAGCCUUUUUUCCCAGGCCCCUUCGCCUUCUCAGCUUUCUUUUCAAAGACCUUGUAUUUCUUUUUCUCCUUAUAUGGUCCAAUGUGACCUGACAGGGUGGCUGAAGCAGCAGAUUGGGGAUAGAAAUAUGCACUAGUUCUCCACAGAUUUUUUUUUUUUGAAUGGAGCAUUUGCAAUCAAUUUAUGUAGUUUAGCUGAAAGGUUAAGAAUUUUCCACUUAAAAAUCAACCUCUCCAAAUUAAAAUUUUUUGGUGCUUUUUUUUCAUUGUAGUCAGGUCUACACAUGCCCUCAUGCAAGAGACUGUUCUGGAAAGGGCUUCCUGAGGAAGGUCUGUGGAGUGUGCACCACUUUUACUCAAGCCUUUUGAACAUUGAUUUCUCGGAGGCUGGAGAAUAUGUUGUUCUUUUGUCUUCCUUAGGAUUCUCUCUCAGAGAAGUGAUUUCAAAAUGAGGUGCUUCUGUUAGUGACACAUGUGGGGAUGGGAAGAAAUGGUGUCAGGGUCCAUUUGUACUUGAGUCCCUUCAGGACAGGUCUCUAUGGAAAUAAAUGUUCACAAAACAAAAUAGGGCAAAGCAACUCUCAAUUGCUGGCUGAGACCCUGACUCCAAACCCUGUUGCAAACCUCAGCAGAUCCAGGCUCUACCCCACGGAGGUUUCCUUUUCUUAGGCUAAGUGGUCCCUGAGGAGUUGGGAGUGGGUGCCGUCCACACCUCCACUCAGAUCCCUGUUUCCAGCUGGUGCACCCACGGUCCAGCAGCUCUGGGUGUUGCCUCAUGUCUGCCCCCGUCUCUAGAGAUUUUCCUUCGCCCAGGAGUCUCUUCACGUGGGAGGAGGCGGGCUCCCCCAACUCCCCAGCAGCCUGUAUCCAGUGACCAAUCAGCAGGGGAUACAGAAGGUCAAUCCACGUUUCAAAGUGGGAUCCACUCUGUGGGACAAUUCAUGCUCCAGAAUGCCCUGUGGGGUCGGGCUUCAGCCAGACCCCAGCUCAGACCACAUCUUGGCUUAGUUCCUCCCCUCCCUAUCCUGCUUUCUUCACUUCCUCAAUAGAUCCUGUGUACCCCAAUCCUUGUCUCAGGCUCUGCUUUCAGAGAACCAGAUAUAAAACAGACUACCAUGCCAAACUGGCAAAAGGAUCUACCCCAUCCAUGCCCAGACCUGAAUCUGGGAACUUACUGUCCCAGGGCGAAGGAUGAUCACACACAUUGAGAGAAGCUGGAGAGGCCCUAGUGUAGAUGCUUACCCCAUUGCGGGAGUGGAACUGGUCCAGACUGGUCUAGUCUUUUUGGAGCUGUAAGGGUGGAGGGAGUCACAGGCCUGUAUCAUCAGCCACUGGGGAUCAAGAGAGAAAGUGUACCAAAGUGGCAUGGAGAAUAUCAAAGAGAAAGAAAGAUGACCUUCCCCAAAGAGGGUUGGUUCCAGAAAGGUUCUAGGAAGAACCAACUGAGAGAUGGAGGGGAGUGUGUUUUAGGUCCCUGCAACUGUGGAUGCAGAAGAGACCCUACUGUUUGUUCCUGACCUUUUCAGCUCUGUUUCAUCUACCAGAGUGUUCCUCCCCUUUGGGGGUGCAGUUGGGGCGGGUGAGAAGGGACUGAGCAGUAGCUGUGUUGGAGAUGGGUAGAGAAAAGGUGAAGAGAAGCAAUCUUUUCCCCUUGGCCUGACUUCACUUAGCUCUCUCUCUACUUUGUCUUAUUUCUUGGACUUCAAAUCUUUCAUACCCUUCCUUGCUGUGAAGUCUUAGCUCAGCUUUUUGCUCCUGUCAGCUUCUCUCCCAUUUUCCCGUCUGGCCAAAUUCUUGGCAUUCAUUCAACAAAUAUUUACUAAGUGCCUACCAGGCAUCAGGCACUUUUCUAGAUGUUGGGGAGUCACUAGAAACAGCUGCCUCAGUUGUUGCCAAUGGGAAAGACACCCCAAAAACAUGCAAACAGCUAAGUAGGAUAAAUUCAGCAAGAGGGAAGUGUUGUGAGGGAAACGAAAGAAGAGCAUCCUGUACUCAUCACCCUGCUGUCUGCUUGCAUUUGCUGUGAGUCUCGUCUGCCCGGUGAAGCUGCAGGUGAUUUGAGGGCAAAGAUCUCAGCCGACACUGCUUCCUCCAAGAAGCCCCAUCCAGUGUCUCACUCAUCACAAAGAUGUCAACGCCAACUUGUUGGUUUCUCCACAGCAAUUACCCCCAGGCUGUCCAAGUCUGGACCAGCCUUAGGUUUCGAUCCUUUUGCCUUGGGUUUCUCCCGCUGCACGAUUUGUGUGCAGGGGAGUGGAUGUGGCCUCUGAUGGCCUGCAGCGGAGCCUUAUGCUUCUUGCUGGUGUGCGAUAGACAGUGAGUCUCAAUGUUCGUAGCCCCAUUUCCCUUCUGUGUAAGACAGGGGAGGCGAGGAUGCCCAUUUCACAGGGUUAGGAGGGAUGGAAUGAGACCAUCUGCAUCAAGUUCUCCCUCAAGGGAGGAUGUUGGGUGAUGGGUCAAGUCCUCAUUUAGCACCAAACUUGUGACCAGCCUCAGGAGGAUCUGAAAAGAAUGCGGGGCCCAAGGCUCUCGCGGUUUGGUUGCCUCCAAGGCAGCCUUGGCCAUCAGUUUUGGGGUUAAUUGAGGUCCUGAGCGCGGGCCUCUAGGAGGAGGCAGAGGGAAAUGCAGGAGGAAGGCUCUCUCCCAGCCUUCCCGCUGCCCCAGACCCAGAGUCCAUCUUUUCCCUCCUCACACUGAUACCCUCCUGAUGUUCCUAUUUCUCUCCUUGCUUCGGCUUAAAAUCCCAGAUUCACCUGGAUUUUCCCUUGUCUCUCACCCUGUUCCUCCUCCCGGAUCCCAAGUCUCUCGUGUUCUGUGUUUCAUGUUUUCCGCCUCCCAUCAUUUCAUUCUCUUCGCCCUUGCCUUGCUCCCAGUCCCAGAUCCUCCUUUUGCAUUUCUCCGUGGCUGGUGUCACUUCCUCCUGGGUAUCUCUGACCCCUGUGUCUCCUCAUUACAGUCCAUCUGUCACACUUGGCAAUCCUGCUUCCUAAAAGGUAAAUAGUCCAUACCCCGCACACUGGCGUUUGAAGCUGCCUGCCACGUGACCCACUCUACCUUCCCACCUUCCAUCCUCGUCACCGUGGCCAAACUCGCCUACUCCCUGCUCCCUGGACGUGUCCCGUAUUGCCCUGCCCCUGAGCUUUCCCUCCUGCUGUUCCUGGUGUUAAGGAGGCCACAGUUGCCCUUCCUUCUAGGCGUGGUUCAGAUAUAGCCCCUGAUGCCAUGACUGGUCAGGAACUCGCUCUCACCUCUGCGUAUUCAUGCUCCUCAUCUCAUACCUUUCCUCUGACGUUUCUGUCUUUCAGCUGCUCUAGGAAUUGGGCCCUUUGGUGACGCCACUGAGGAAGUUUUAUUUUCUCAGAUUCCGAUGUGAGCAUUCCUCUUGGGUGAAACCCAUGUUUGUCGAGAACAUGCCUCGGUACGUUCUUUUCAGGGGCAGACGCUGAGCCCAGGAGGGCUGAGGUGGGUGGGACACGACAUAACACAAACAGACGGCUGUGGUUGUACCAGGGGGAAUGUGGAGAGGCAACCAGAACCGGGUGGAAAACUGUGUGCCCCACAAUGUUUCCUCUUCCUGGGAUUCUCCGAAGCUUCAGUAAAGGUGAAAUUCUAGAGGCGAGAGGCAUUCCUGUGGCAGCUCAUGGACCCAUGGAGCCCUAGGAGUGAGUGAGCCAAAGAAGCAGGAAGAACUCACUGUCGGCAGCCUGCGAGGACUGAGGACAGGGUCUGGUCCCCAUGAGAGACAAGGAGUGUGGCUUCUGGCUAGUUUAAGGCGAUUUUUGUGAGGUAACUUGGAGGGGCUUAGAUGGCAUCUGGGAUGAGUUUCUCAUCCUGUCUGAGAGAUACUUGGGGGACGAGCCCUAAAAUCCUUCUUUUUGUUGUCUCUAGUUCAAUGCUGGUACAACAAUUGUUCAUUUAAAUUGAAAUACUCAGAUGUGGGUGGUGAUUUCUUUGCAAGGGAGUGGGUGCUACUGGUCAUUUGGUUUCUCUGAGUUGGGAUGACAUAGUGCAUUUUUACACUUGAUCCUCAAGUGGACCAUGAGAGUUAGACUUCGAGAAGCUUGUAGACAGAUAAAGAAACUGGAGCUCAGAGAGGGUGAGUGAUAUCCUGCAGAUCACACAGCUAGAAAGUGGCAGAACUAGGCCUUGAACCCAGAGCUUCUGGCUCAAGUCCAGUGAUCAGUCCGUCUCUGCACCAGGCACCUCUGCGCACUCUCGUAACUCAAGUUGGACUGAACUGGGAGAAUCUGCGAAGCUGGGUUGCAGAGCUUUCUAUAUAAUUCUUGAAGGAGGAUUGUAUAUUUUGAGAGUCUGAGCUGAUGCCAGGACCCUCUCCUCUUUCUGAAAUUACCUUUAUGAAAUGUUUUGGUUAUAUACAGAUAGCUAAGAGUUGUGAGAGUGGCUUCCAAAGCAAUUCCAGGAUCCCAACCUUGGAACCAUCCGAAACCAUCCACCACCUGCACCGCCAAACCAGCGUAUGCCAGUUCCUCCGAAAUUGGAAGGAUCCUUACACGGGUGUCCACCCUACUCAGAAGACAGCCCUCGUGGUUGGUGGGGUGUCAUCUAAAAUCUGUUGCCUUCACUUCUGUCAGACAUUGAUCCCUAUAUCACAUCCACAUGGGAUGUGUGAGAUUUCCUCCUCGUGACAAACGAGGAAAUGAGGCUCAGAUUAAAUUACUCGCCCAAGUUCGUGCAGUUCGUAAUGGAGAGAUGUGAAGUACAAACCCACAGUAUUUCUUAAUCCAUAUAUUGUGUUCUCAGCCACUAAGCUAUCGUGCCUCCAAGUAGACAUUCGCUGAUGGAAUGGGGUUGAAUAGCGAUACAGGAGUGAGUGUGGCCAAGAGCCAAAAGGCUCAUAACGGAGAGAAAUGCUGUAGGACUUGAGAGAAGAGUGGACUGUCUCUGAGCAACAUGGGUGCUACUACAGGGCUGUCAGGUGGCCUUGCCACUGGAUCAAGCAAGCAGCUGCUGGUGGGGCCUUUCUGGGCAGCCUGAGAAGGAAGAACGCUCGUAGGGAAACUGACUGAGGAUGAACCGUGCCAGAAAUGGCCACUCUGUCACCGGCCCCCUCUUAGGUCAUAUUUCAAAGACUGGCUCAGGGCCACUGGCUGGGGCGCACGAGUAUGAGGUCAUGGCUGAGCAAUCUGACUCUAAAAAAUAUAAGGACCAACAUGGGAGUUUUAUCGCAUUUCUGCCUCCCAGGCAUGAAGUCAGCUGGACCGCGCGUGACGGGAGCGUUCCUCUUGUAAUUAGCCUGGGUGGUUUUUUUUUCAUGUUCUGUCUAAAUUCAGUGUGCUGCGAGCGCGCCCGCUCCCUCGGAGCCACCCGACAGCAGUAGCGGAGGAGAGUCAUGGCCAUAAAAUCUGGAAGGCUCAUGGCGGGGAUGGAGGGUGGUGGAGAAAUAGAAAUAUUGUUAUCACCUUCCAGCGUAAUUUCACCAGCUGCAUUGUGCCUUCGGUAACACUAAGCCAGAAGCGAUGGUUUUAGUGGGGAAAUAUCAGUUCUCUAUUGGGACAGAGGCCCUGGCAGCCCCUUGUUCUUUUGAGGGCGGAUGGGGCACGUUAAAUUCCCGUGCUGCCGCUCACCAGCUGGAACCUGUGUGGAUUUGCUCGGAGACAUUUGGAUGUGAUCAGUG
rnacentral:lncRNA from 1 species